rnacentral:lncRNA from 1 species
CCAGCAACCUUAUUAUUACCAAACUACAAAUAACAAAGCAACCUCAUCUAAGCCUUAUUUAAAUGUUGAUAAAAGAAAGACUUACACAUCUUUAGAUGAACCUUAUAUCCAACUCCUUAAAAGUUUAAAAGAAUCAGAAAUAGUUUAACCAAUCCACUAGAGAGAAAUUAAACCUCAUCCAAAGUAGUUUAAUGAAACUAAUCA